rnacentral:rRNA from 1 species
GAUGAACGCUGGCGGCGUGCCUAAUACAUGCAAGUCGAGCGAACAGACGAGGAGCUUGCUCCUCUGACGUUAGCGGCGGACGGGUGAGUAACACGUGGAUAACCUACCUAUAAGACUGGGAUAACUUCGGGAAACCGGAGCUACUACCGGAUAAUAUAUUGAACCGCAUGGUUCAAUAGUGAAAGACGGUUUUGCUGUCACUUAUAGAUGGAUCCGCGCCGCAUUAGCUAGUUGGUAAGGUAACGGCUUACCAAGGCAACGAUGCGUAGCCGACCUGAGAGGGUGAUCGGCCACACGGGAAGUGAGACACAGUCCAGACUCCUACGGUAGGCAGCAGUAGGGAAUCUUCCGCAAUGGGCGAAAGCCUGACGGAGCAACGCCGCGUGAGUGAUGAAGGUCUUCGGAUCGGAAAACUCUGUUAUUAGGGAAGAACAAAUGUGUAAGUAACUAUGCACGUCUUGACGGUACCUAAACAGAAAGCCACGGCUAACUACGUG